AAGUCGAGCGGUAACAGAUCUAGCUUGCUGGAUGCUGACGAGCGGCGGACGGGUGAGUAAUGCAUAGGAAUCUGCCCGGUAGUGGGGGAUAACCUGGGGAAACCCAGGCUAAUACCGCAUACGUCCUACGGGAGAAAGGGGGCUUCGGCUCCCGCUAUCGGAUGAGCCUAUGUCGGAUUAGCUAGUUGGUGAGGUAACGGCUCACCAAGGCCACGAUCCGUAGCUGGUCUGAGAGGAUGAUCAGCCACAUCGGGACUGAGACACGGCCCGAACUCCUACGGGAGGCAGCAGUGGGGAAUAUUGGACAAUGGGGGGAACCCUGAUCCAGCCAUGCCGCGUGUGUGAAGAAGGCCCUCGGGUUGUAAAGCACUUUCAGCGAGGAAGAACGCCUAGCGGUUAAUACCCGCUAGGAAAGACAUCACUCGCAGAAGAAGCACCGGCUAACUCCGUGCCAGCAGCCGCGGUAA
rnacentral:rRNA from 1 species